rnacentral:lncRNA from 1 species
CUAGCUGAUGGACUUUGUUACACUUGUGCUCAGAGCAGAAAAAUAUAAAUAUAAAAAGUUUCAGAAAACCAAUGCUCAAUUGGGUGUUCCAAAUUCAGUUAGAUACGAAAAUGUUGAAAAACAUUUACCAGUUGAAUUAGGAAACAGAAAAAGGUGCCGACUUUGUUCAACAAAAAAGAACAAAAAAAGGAUUGUGACUGUUUGCAAAGCAUGACAUCCUUUGUGUAUCACACCAUGUUUUGAACGGUUUCACUGCAAUUAAAAUAUCUUUAAAAAUAUAUAAUUUUUUUUAAAGUAUUGAUAUCACUAGCUAAGAAGUGGUACACAUCGCUG